rnacentral:rRNA from 1 species
CCUACGGGAGUCAGCAGUGAGGAAUAUUGGUCAAUGGCCGAGAGGCUGAACCAGCCAAGUCGCGUGAGGGAAGACGGCCCUACGGGUUGUAAACCUCUUUUGUCGGGGAGCAAAGCGAGUCACGUGUGACUCAUUGAGAGUACCCGAAGAAAAAGCCUCGGCUCACCCCGUGCCAGCAGCCGCGGUAAUACGGAGGAUGCGAGCGUUAUCCGGAUUUAUUGGGGUUAAAGGGUGGGCAGGCGGAGGUGCAAGUCAGCGGUCAAAUUGCGGGGCUCAACCCCGUCCUGCAGUUGAAACUGCAGCCCUUGAGUGCGCGAGAAGUAUGCGGAAUGCGUGGUGUAGCGGUGAAAUGCAUAGAUAUUACGCAGAACUCCGAUUGCGAAGGCAGCAUACCGGCGCGCAACUGACGCUCAUGCACGAAAGCGUGGGUAUCGAACAGGAGUAGAUACCCCAGUAGUC